AGAGACCUCGAGCGUUAUCCGGAAUCAUUGGGCGUAAAGCGUACCGAUCGGUGGUGUAACAAGUCAGAUGUGAAAUCUUCAGGCUCAACCUGGAGACUGUCAUUUGAAACUGUUACGCUUGAGGGGCAAAGAGGAAGCUGGAACGAACGGUGUAGUAGUGAAAUGCGUCGAUAUCGUUCGGAACACCAAUAGCGAAGGCAGGCUUCUGGGUGCCACCUGACACUGCUAGGACGAAAGCGUGGGGAGCGAAGGGGAUUAGAUACCCCCGUAGUCCACGCUGUAAACGAUGCACAUUAGGUGCUGGGGAGUAUCGACCCUCUUCAGUGCCAAAGCUAACGCGUUAAAUGUGCCGCCUGGGGAGUACGGCCGCAAGGCUA
rnacentral:rRNA from 1 species